rnacentral:rRNA from 1 species
AUGCGCGUAAAUCAGAUUUUUGACAGUCACAACUACUCCGAAGAGAAAAAGGUUCGUGUUGCAUCUAUGGAAUUUACAGAGUAUGCUCUUGUAUGGUGGGAUAAUAAGAACCGUACUCACGAGCGACCAGCGACAUGGGCUGACAUGAAGCGAAUUAUAAGGGAACGUUUUGUGCCUGCUUACUACACUCGCCAGCUUCAUAGUAGACUGCGUCGUCUAGUGCAAGGUACAAAAUCAGUUGCUGGAUACUACAAGGAGAUGCAAGUUUUGAUGAUCCAUACAACUGUGCGUGAGUCUGCGGAGGCGACCAUGGUACGUUUCUUUGAGGGGUUAGAAGAAAAGAUUCGUGACCGUGUUGAUUUAAUGCAAUAUAAUGAUAUUCAUGAGUUGCUUCAUCAAGCGGAGCGUGCUGAACAUUGGGUAUUGGAGAAGCAAGCUUGA